ACAAAGGGCUUAAAGCAACGUGACUCAAACGACAGUGACGGACUUUAGUCGAGAAGCAGACGUGAAGCCUGAGCUCCGCUGAUUUAUUAACAUUUACCACCGUUUUUGGUUUAAAUCUUUUUUUAGCUCCAGCUUUCACUUUAACAACCUUAGACUAACUUUUCAUCCAGAAAGAAGAAUCUAAAUGAGACAAAUCGCUCGGGACGAAAAACGUAUUUUUCCUCCAAAGUUUUUUUUUGGGUCGGAUAUGUGCAUAGAAAGAAUGGAGACCAAUCCUAAACGCGUGAAACCCGAUUGCCUGCUUCAUAGGACCGUGAAACUGGCGUCUAAACCGAGGUGGAGGCAGCUGGGGGCGGACGAGGCCCCGAAGCCGAGCCGGGCCUCCAUCCGGAAACACCUCAAGCGCGAGCAUAAGCGGGCCCAUCUGGUUGAGCUCGCCCGAGUCCUGAGGCCCAACAUCGGGAAGAAAGGCAAGGAAACGUCGAUGUGUGAGCAGAGAACCGCCGCGGCCUACAACCGCCGACACCCGGGAACAAUGGCGCCGCCGAACACCACCCAGUUCCUGAUGAGUAACGCCGAGGAGGACAUGAAGAGCAGAAACAUCCAGGCUGAUGCGGCCUCCACGGAGACAUGGUCGUGUCUGUACAGCGAGUCCUUGUCCCCCAGCAGCGUGUACGCGGCCCUGGACUCUGCCUACGAGAGCUGCGUCGAUUUCCAGAUCCGAGACUUUGAGGAAAUGUUCGCCCCGACCUGGUGAACGGCAUCGAACGGUCUCCGCGGCCUUGUGGCACCGAUCCGACCUCCUGUCCACUAGUGACAGUUACACAAAAGACAACCAUGAAGCGACGCACUGGAACGCUGCCCGCCCACUAGGGAGCGCUCCCGAGCUCCGGAUGGAACCGAUCCGAAUCCCACCCGGGACGAACCGGGUCUACGUGGACCCGAUCCAACUUCCUCAGAGCCCACUGACAUGUACUUAGGACAAACAUGAAGCGGCGCACUUGGACGCUGCCCCACCACUAGGGAGCGCUACCGAGCCGUGCGUCGUCCAGAGGAACGAACCAAGCGCACUCCCCGGGGGCGACCCGGUCUACGUGGAACUGAUCCCCGACCAGCUCACACCCACUGACAUUUACAUAGGCCUGACGUGAAGGUGUGCUGCAUAUCCUGUUUAUCUCCUGUUGCCCAGGUCAUGUAAUGUGGUUGAUUUGACGCAUGAUUUCAUGGUUGGGCUUUAUUUGUCUCACAGCGGCGCACUGGCGCUGCCCGCCCGCUAGGGAGCGCUCCUGAGCCUUGCGCCGUCCAGAGGAACGAAACCCAAACGCACCCGAGCUCUGCUCUGGCCACGGAUUGUGAAUAAUCCAGGUAAACCCGGGCAGGUAUCGUUGUUGCACCGACCACACCAUUAGUGGUACUGAAAUGUGUUGGCGAUGAGUGGGAAGUGUUGCUUUCCACAGUCACUGUUGUCUGAGCGUUUUCCAGAUCCCCUCCCCCCCACUCUCCCGCUGCCAGGACACGUGACUCCGCUGCGAGCAGGAGGCAGGACACCGGAGAGAGAUCAGUCUGCACGUGACUGACAUGAGGUGACAUUCACUGUCCGUUGAUUGUUGACUUAUUUCCAGGGAAAGUCCAAAGGUCAAACUCUAAUCUUGUUUAUAUGUCGAGGGUUGACAAGUUGUAUUUAUACUGUAAGAUAAGAGAAUUUAUGAUGAGAGUGUUUUUAAUUAAACGAGGCUUGAAACGUAUAAAACUGACCCUGUGUCUUUGUGUGAAAUAAAGUGUUUUAUUCAACGUACAUACAAAUCUGAACUAGUGUCUGAAUAAUAUUACAACUUAUGGCACCCUAGUGUCUGAUAAGAGUAUUGCUCUGCAAAGUUUAAUCAAUUUAAUACAAUAAUGUCAUGUCUUGGUUCAAUUUCUAAAUAUAAGUGCUUAAAUAUAUUGAAUUCUUCAUUAUAUAUAGAGCAAAUAAGUCUUGGUGUCGAAUGGCACAUUCCUCACUAAUGAUCCCAUGAAAAUUUUCUACUAUUAGUUGUAAUGCAUGUUUAUGUAUAAAGUUGAGCAAAUGCCCUGCCAGCUAACAACUAGCCGCUGUACCUUAAAACAUGGGGAAAUGUAAGUUUAACCAUACGUAGCAGGAAUGAUUAGUAUUCAAAGGUUAAAGUUGUUUCCUGGAGAAGCUGAUCAAACGCACUGCUGAGUUGAAAGGCUCAAACUUGGACAAUGGAGAUCAAUGUGGUGAGUCAAAUGAUCAUAAAUAUGAUAACGUAUAUUUUGCCAUUUCAAGGCUGGUUUUACAUAUAUCGAGUGGUAUAAAACAUUUUUACUUUCUGAACUCCUACUUUGUGUGAGGUUUAUUAUUCACCAUCGAUUCAGUUGAACAUUUAUAAACUUAUUUUAAGUCCACCCUCAGGCUUUUUCUUACUUUUAAAUUGGAAACUUUUUAUGGAAGAUACCAAUAGAUUUUUAAAUAAGGUCUGCAUAGCUGGUAAUUGUCGCAUGUGCAGGAAACUAAUUAAGUAGAAGGAAGAUAAAGGCAGUCUAUUUACAAAGUAAUAAACUGGGCAUGUAUAAUUUACCAGUAGCUGCUGUUCAUCACAAACUGCUGGUGGCCAUAAAGCCAUAAACACACUUCCAAUUAAUUCAAUAAUAAAGCAAUCAAUGUGCUUCCAAGCCUUGGUGACGCUGCUGAACAAUUAAAGGGAAGUUUUAUUAUAGGAGCAAAUCCUCAGAGGGUUUUCCAAUUUGACAUGAUUAAAACCUUAAAAUAGCCAGUUUCCUCUGCUCUGGUUUGACGUUGGAACAGGUCAGAGCCAGUACUCAAAGCGGCCACGUGAUGGCAGUAGUGUCCAUGAAACAAUGGACCACCAUGAACUCCUGCAGGUCAGAGAUAAUUGAUGCCAGAGGGAAAGACACAUACAUCCUGACAAAAUGAAUUUGUUUUGCAGGACACUUCUAUGAAGAUUAGCAGGUGGUCUGGGUUUAGAGACUUAACUUAGUUCUCCACAGUUCAAGCUCAUCCGUCAUACAAGUACUGCUGUUCACUGCAUGUGGCUCAAAGAUGUUGGAAGUCCUUUUAAGGUGGUUCUUUGAGCAGCAUGCUAAAAUCCCAUGUCUUUUUAAGGGAGAGAACUCUCCAGCGCCUUCUUAUCUCCACUCUUUGAAUCUCAGCCGUUUGAUCCAGAGGCCGAUAGCUCUGAGAAAUGGCUGCUGCUAGUGUGUGUGUGUGACUCAUGCCUUUUCCACCAGAAGCGGUCGGUCUAUAGCCGCUCACCCUGUGGUCCAAGUGCUUCAUGAGAUGGUCGGCAAUUACACCCAAAGCAGAGAUAUACUCUCUGCAUGCUGGGAGGAAAUUUGGGCACUUGGCUCCACAUGAAGAGACGGGGCCGGCGGCCAAGAGCCGGGAUUUGGCUCCGACGGGAUUCUGGACACAGCUUCCGUUCAAAUUGAAGCUCAUAAAAAGAAUCUGGUGUGUGUGUGUUGUUGUUUGUGUGUGUGUGAGCCCUACUUAAAGUGUGAAAACACAUCAAGGAUAAAUGUCAGACUAUACUCUGUGUGUGUGUGUAGGGAAUUAAGAGGUACAUUAAUCUCCGCUCUGCUGACAGGCCUCUGAUGACUAUCUGUCUGCACUGAUGUGUGGUGUUUGGUGUGAACUUCAGGACAAACCCUCAGGAGGAGUCGGAUCAGGGAGAAGUUCUCUGCAUGCAUGAGCACAUCAGGGAUUUGAAGAAAUUCAGCCAGAGAUCCUUUCAAUGAGAGAAGUGACCGGGGACAUGUGAACGUUUUUGCGUUUUCCCUCUCAUGACUGCAGCUUCAAAAGGGUUUCCAACAGGAGUUUUUUUUUGGGGGGGGGUAAUCAGUACGGUGAAUGAUAAGCGUUAAAAGCACGUGUUCAUCUUGUAAAUGGGCGUCGAUAGGCUUAGAACACAGGCUUAACUGGCCUGGUUUAAAUCGAUUGUCUUUGAGUGUGCAGAGUAAUGCAGAACCAGUGCCUAGUAUAAAUAACAAUAGGAAUGUGCUUAGAUAAAUAAAGUUCCUCGAGACAGCAAAUAAUAAAACAAUC